CAAGUGGUGCGACGAACCAGGGCUUGCCCUGGGGCAAAGCCGCGAACGGGUGAGUAACACGUGAGUAACCUGCCCCGAUGACCGGGACAACCCGAGGAAACUCGGGCUAAUACCGGAUGUGGCGCACAGGCCCAAGCCUGUGUGCUAAAGGAAGCUUCGGCCUCCGCAUUGGGAGGGGCUCGCGGCCCAUUAGCUUGUUGGUGGGGUAACGGCCUACCAAGGCAACGAUGGGUAGCUGGUCUGAGAGGACGAUCAGCCACACUGGGACUGAGACACGGCCCAGACUCCUACGGGAGGCAGCAGUGGGGAAUCUUGCGCAAUGCGCGAAAGCGUGACGCAGCAACGCCGCGUGGGGGAAGAAUGCCUUCGGGUUGUAAACCCCUUUCAGGAGGGACGAAGGUUCGCCGGUGAAUAGCCGUGCGGAUUGACGGUACCUCCAGAAAAAGCUCCGGCUAACUACGUGCCAGCAGCCGCGGUAAUACGUAGGGAGCAAGCGUUGUCCGGAAUCAUUGGGCGUAAAGCGCGCGUAGGCGGCCCUGUAAGUCCGCUGUGAAAGUCAAAGGCUCAACCUUUGAAAGCCGGUGGAUACUGCAGGGCUAGAGUCCGGAAGAGGCGAGUGGAAUUCCUGGUGUAGCGGUGGAAUGCGCAGAUAUCAGGAGGAACACCAAUAGCGAAGGCAGCUCGCUGGGACGGUACUGACGCUAAGGCGCGAAAGCGUGGGGAGCGAACAGGAUUAGAUACCCUGGUAGUCCACGCCGUAAACGAUGGGCACUAGGUGU
rnacentral:rRNA from 1 species